rnacentral:rRNA from 1 species
GACGAACGCUGGCGGCGUGCUUAACACAUGCAAGUCGAGCGGUAAGGCCCUUUCGGGGGUACACGAGCGGCGAACGGGUGAGUAACACGUGGGUGACCUGCCCUCAGCUCUGGGAUAAGCCUGGGAAACUGGGUCUAAUACUGGAUAUGACUCCACGGUGCAUGUCGUGGGGUGGAAAGCCUUGUGCGGCUGAGGAUGGGCCCGCGGCCUAUCAGCUUGUUGGUGGGGNGAUGGCCUACCAAGGCGACGACGGGUAGCCGGCCUGAGAGGGCGACCGGCCACACUGGGACUGAGACACGGCCCAGACUCCUACGGGAGGCAGCAGUGGGGAAUCUUGCGCAAUGGCCUAACGGCUGACGCAGCGACGCCGCGUGUGGGAUGAAGCUCUUCGGAGUGUAAACCACUGUUGCCCGGGACGAACAGCUCGAUUAAUCGAGCCUGACGGUACCGGGUGAGGAAGCACCGGCUAA